UACGUAGGGGGCAAGCGUUGUCCGGAAUCAUUGGGCGUAAAGAGCGUGUAGGCGGUUCGGUAAGUCGGCUGUGAAAGUCCAGGGCUCAACCCUGGGAUGCCGGUCGAUACUGCCGGACUAGAGUUCGGAAGAGGCGAGUGGAAUUCCCGGUGUAGCGGUGAAAUGCGCAGAUAUCGGGAGGAACACCUAUGGCGAAGGCAGCUCGCUGGGACGUUACUGACGCUGAGGCGCGAAAGCGUGGGGAGCGAACAGG
rnacentral:rRNA from 1 species